GAUUAACGCUGGCGGCGUGCAUAACACAUGCAAGUCGAACGAUGAAACUCAUUAGAUUUCUUCGGAAUGAAACUGAAUGGAUUAGUGGCGAACGGGUGAGUAACGCGUGAGUAACCUGCCUUACACAAGGGGAUAGCCUCUGGAAACGGAGAAUAAUACCCUAUGAAACCAGACAAUCGCAUGAUAAUCUGGUCAAAAUGUUUAGUGGUGUAAGAUGGACUUGCGUCUGAUUAGCUAGUUGGUGAGAUAAAAGCUCACCAAGGCAACGAUCAGUAGCCGGCUUGAGAGAGUGUACGGCCACAUUGGGACUGAGACACGGCCCAGACUCCUAAGGGAGGAAGCAGUGGGGAAUUUUGAACAAUGGGGGAAACCAGGAUGCAGCGACGCCGCGUGAUUUAGAAGGCCUUCGGGUUGUAAAAAUCUUUUGUAUAGGAAGAAAAUGACAGUACUAUACGAAUAAGGUCCGGCUAAUUACGUG
rnacentral:rRNA from 1 species